CCUACGGGAGGCAGCAGUGGGGAAUAUUGGACAAUGGGGGAAACCCUGAUCCAGCAAUGCCGCGUGGGUGAUGAAGGCCUUCGGGUUGUAAAGCCCUUUUGGCGGGGACGAUGAUGACGGUACCCGCAGAAGAAGCCCCGGCUAACUUCGUGCCAGCAGCCGCGGUAAUACGAAGGGGGCUAGCGUUGUUCGGAAUUACUGGGCGUAAAGGGCGCGUAGGUGGCUUCGAUAGUCGGGUGUGAAAUGCCUGGGCUUAACCCAGGAAUUGCACUCGAAACUCCGAGGCUUGAGUGUGGGAGAGGUUGGUGGAAUUCCCAGUGUAGAGGUGAAAUUCGUAGAUAUUGGGAAGAACACCGGUGGCGAAGGCGGCCAACUGGACCACAACUGACACUGAGGCGCGAAAGCGUGGGGAGCAAACAGGAUUAGAUACCCGUGUAGUC
rnacentral:rRNA from 1 species